rnacentral:rRNA from 1 species
CGAGCACGCGCGUGUGGCAUAUCAAUAAGCGGAGGAAAAGAAACUAACAAGGAUUCCCUUAGUAACGGCGAGUGAAGCGGGAAGAGCUCAAAUUUGAAAUCUUCAAGGUUCUACCUUGACGAAUUGUAGUUUAUAGAAGUGUUUUCUGUUAGUAGGAGUGGCAAAAGUUCUUUGGAAUAGGACAUCAUAGAGGGUGAGAAUCCCGUAUUUGGUCAUUCCUCCUAGCGUUGUGAUACACUUUCAACGAGUCGGAUUGUUUGGGAAUGCAGUCCAAAAUGGGUGGUAAAUUUCAUCUAAAGCUAAAUAUUGGCGAGAGACCGAUAGCGAACAAGUACCGUGAGGGAAAGAUGAAAAGAACUUUGAAAAGAGAGUUAAACAGUACGUGAAAUUGUCAAAAGGGAAGCGUUUGACACCAGUGUUGUUUUUCCGAAAAUCAAUUACGAAUGUUUUGUUUUUGAGGAAGUUAUGACUUCAUCGGCUUGCUUCUCUCUUUAUGAAACUUUCUUAAUGCACUUUUCGGUUAACAAGUCAACAUCAAUUUCUUUUGUUGUAAAAGGGUAUGAGGAAGGUGGCUUUCUUUUCGGAGAAAGUGUUUAUAGCCUUGUACCUCUGCAAUCGGAGAGAUUGAGGUCUGCAGCGUAGAUCCUUCGGGGUUAGAUACAGUUUGUGCUAAGUUAUAGCUUUUCAUAGACAACUUGUUGACUAUGUUUAGUCUUGUAGCUUACUCGCUUAUGCUAUUUUACCUACGCUUAGGAUGUUGAUGUGAUACUGCGAGC